AUAUAUUUAUAAAUAUUAAGUAACGGUAAAGUAGUGUUACUAACCGGCGAAAAUUCAGCACAUUAUUAUCAUGUGCUAAUUGCAAAGGCGUUAAUUGGUUUAUAAACUAAAAGCUCAGUUGAUUUUCACGAUCCCUACUCUCCCUCUCUCUUCACACUUCUAUCUUCUCUCUCAAAUCAAGAAUGCGAUUACAGAUUUUUGAGAUUCCAUCUCCCAAAUCGGUUAAACAUGGUUAGUAUCUUCUCAUCUCUCUCUCUCUCUCUCUAUUUACUUUUUCAAACAAUUUUCAAUUAGGGUUUCUGUGAUCUAAACUCAGAUUCAUUUUUGCAAUUCAAAAAUUAUGUUUAUUGUACUUUGUUUUUUUUUUUGUUUCCUUGUGUUGGAGAUUACGGCUGUGCUUGUUUGCACGUAAUUUUGAGGGAAAAUAUUUUGAAAAUAUUUUGCUAGUUUUGUUUUGCGAUUUAUUUACAAAAAUUAUAUCUAAACAUGCUUGUUUAGUUUGGGCUAAAAAUUCGGAAAUCAAGAUAAAAAGAGGAGAGAGAAAGAGAGAGAGGAGAGAGAAAGAAAGAAGAGCACGUGAUUCCAAAGAUUCCAGUAUUUUUAAAGCAGCAAAAAAUGCUGAGCUGUUUUUACUUUUAAGAAAAUAAUUCCGGUAGAGCCCACUAUAAAUGAUAACUACCAAGCACCAUGCAAAUCUGUAAAACUUUUUAAAAUCCAACGUGUCACGACUUUCCGGGAGAUUUCCAUGCAACCAAGCACAGCCUACAAUUAUGCAUUGAUUUGGGGAGAUGUGUAUAAAUGUGAUGUUCAUAUGGUUUUUUCUCUUUCUGACUGCUAGUUACACAAGUUUUUGUUAAAACCACGUGAGAAGCGAAGGAAGAGGUGCCGAGACUGCGGAAGAAACUUAUGUUGUAAAAGCAAAGAAGUCAGUGGGAAGUAUUAGAAUAGAAGUAUACCAUAUAUCAAUUUUUCAAAUUGUAGCCUUUUGAUUUUUAAUAAAGGAUGUUAAUUCUUCUACUAAUUACAUCUAAGCAUUUGACUACAUUGUAAUUAUUUUUGGUUUUGUGAACAACUUGAAAUUUCAUGUAGAUAUUC
rnacentral:lncRNA from 1 species